ACGGGAGGCAGCAGUGAGGAAUAUUGGUCAAUGGGCGAGAGCCUGAACCAGCCAAGUAGCGUGAGGGAAGACUGCCCUACGGGUUGUAAACCUCUUUUGUCCAGGAAUAAAAAAUCCCUCGUGAGGGAUCUUGCAGGUACUGGUUGAAUAAGGACCGGCUAAUUCCGUGCCAGCAGCCGCGGUAAUACGGAAGGUCCGAGCGUUAUCCGGAUUUAUUGGGUUUAAAGGGUGCGUAGGCGGGAUGCCAAGUCAGCCGUAAAAUCGUCGAGCUCAACUCGAUCUCGCGGUUGAAACUGGCGUCCUUGAGUACACUAGAGGGCGAUGGAAUUCGUGGUGUAGCGGUGAAAUGCAUAGAUAUCACGAAGAACUCCGAUUGCGUAGGCAGUCGCCUGGGGUGCCACUGACGCUGAUGCACGAAGGUGCGGGUAUCAAACAGGAUUAGAUACCCUGGUA
rnacentral:rRNA from 1 species